AUUGAACGCUGGCGGCAGGCCUAACACAUGCAAGUCGAACGAGUGGCGGACGGGUGAGUAAUGUCUGGGAAACUGCCUGAUGGAGGGGGAUAACUACUGGAAACGGUAGCUAAUACCGCAUACCAUCAGAUGUGCCCAGAUGGGAUUAGCUUGUUGGUGGGGUAACGGCUCACCAAGGCGACGCUCCGUAGCUGGUCUGCGAGGAUGAACAGCAAACCUGGAACGGAGAUCAGGUCCAGACUCCGACGGGAGGCAGCAGUGGGGAAUAUUGCACAAGGGGCGCAAGCAUGAUGCAGCCAUGCCGCGUGUAUGAAGAAGGCCUUCGGGUUGUAAAGUACUUGCAGCGGGGAGGCGUUACCCGCAGAAGAAGCACCGGCUAACUCCGUGCCAGCAGCCGCGGUAAUAC
rnacentral:rRNA from 1 species